rnacentral:rRNA from 1 species
GACGGAGGGUGCUAGCGUUGUUCGGAUUUACUGGGCGUAAAGGGCGCGUAGGCGGCCUUCUCAGUCGGGUGUGAAAGCCCGGGGCUCAACCCCGGAACGGCACCCGAGACGGGAAGGCUGGAGACCGGGGGAGGAGGGUGGAAUAGCCAGUGUAGAGGUGAAAUUCGUAGAUAUUGGCUGGAACACCGGUGGCGAAAGCGGCUCUCUGGCCCGGUUCUGACGCUGAGGCGCGAAAGCGUGGGGAGCAAACAGG